CUUGUUUCACUCUGAGGCCAAUCUGAAAUACUCAUGUAGAGACCUUAUUGAUGCUAUUAAGAAACUAAUCACUCCUUACAGUCAAGGCAAGAAGGUCAGAGUCAAGCAGACCCGACAAUUGCAACAGUAUCCUCAGUCAGCAUCUGUUCUGCAUCACACAGUAGGAUACAGACCAGGAGCCGGAGUGAGGUGGGCAAGACACAGGAGGCAGGGAAAGGACUAAGGAAAGAAGAGAAUGACCUUCUGAGCCCAUGGAGGGAUGACCCUUCCCAACCUGUGGGUGAGUCCAGGUGACCAGCCCACACCAGAGCAGGCAACUCCAUGCCAAUAUUCCACCUGGCAGGGAGGCAAGAAUGAUUACAAACUUCAGCCACCAGGCAAUGAUGAGUAUGAUGAAAGAGCUCCAGAGGCUGCACUGGAUGGUUCAGCCAGGAACCUGCCAUGGAGGGAUGAUGAUUAUCCUUUGAAGAUAGUGUUCCAGCAGUGGUACUGCCUGUGAAGGGUAAAUUCUGUAGCUAAUUAAAGGACAAUGUAACAGCC